UCCGGAGGGAGCUAGCGUUGUUCGGCAUUCCUGGGCGUAAAGCGCGCGUAGGCGGCUUUGUAAGUUAGAGGUGAAAGCCCGGGGCUCAACCCCGGAACUGCCUUUAAGACUGCAUCGCUUGAAUCCGGGAGAGGUGAGUGGAAUUCCGAGUGUAGAGGUGAAAUUCGUAGAUAUUCGGAAGAACACCAGUGGCGAAGGCGGCUCACUGGACCGGCAUUGACGCUGAGGUGCGAAAGCGUGGGGAGCAAACAGG
rnacentral:rRNA from 1 species